rnacentral:misc_RNA from 1 species
UUUCCGUAGGUGAACCUGCGGAAGGAUCAUUAUCCAUCUCAAACCAGGUGCGGUCGCGGCCCCCGGGGGCUUGCUCCCGGGUGGUAGGGGUAACACCCUCACGCGCCGCCUGCCUGUACCCUCUUUUUACGAGUACCUUUCGUUCUCCUUCGGCGGGGCAACCUGCCGCUGGAACCAAAACAAAACCUUUUUUGCAUCUAGCAUUACCUGUUCUGAUACAAAUAAUCGUUACAACUUUCAACAAUGGAUCUCUUGGCUCUG